CUACGGGGGGCAGCAGUCGAGAAUAGUCUACAAUGGACGAAAGUCUGAUAGUGCGACGCCGCGUGGAUGAAGAAGCAUUUCGGUGCGUAAAGUCCUUUUCUGUGUGAGCAAUGUUUUCCAGGUUAAUAGCUUGGAGAAAGCGAUAUUAACACAGGAAUAAGCUCCGGCUAACUCCGUGCCAGCAGCCGCGGUAACACGGGGGGAGCAAGCGUUGUCCGGACUUACUAGGCGUAAAGGGUAAGUAGGCGGAAUUGUAAGUCAGAUGUUAAAGGCACCGGCUCAACCGGUGUAUGGCAUUUGAUACUGUAAUUCUAGAGUAAGGUGGGGGAAGACGGAAUUCCUGGUGUAGCGGUGGAAUGCGCAGAUAUCAGGAGGAACACCAGAGGCGCAGGCGGUCUUCUAUACCAUUACUGACGCUCAAUUACGAAGGUGUGGGUAUCAAACAGGAUUAGAUACCCUUGUAGUC
rnacentral:rRNA from 1 species